AUGGAGGAAGAAAAUAUACAAGAAAAGGAAAGUGAUGGUCUUGAAGAUUUUUGGAAUGAGUACUCAGUGGCACUUGAAAGCUCUAAGCUCGACACACUUGAAGAGGCAGCCAAUGAGAAAGAGGUGAACAACGUCUGCAAUCAUGAAAUACAGAUUCAUGAAGAUCUGGGCCAUGUAUGCCGUGUCCGCGGUAUGAUUGUGAGAAGGCCUAACACAAUCAUUGAUUAUCAGUGGAGAAAGGCAUGUUAUUUGUUUAAGAUAUGUGAUGAUGCUUCUAUAACUCUGAGGCCGUUUAGCAACAUAUGUAGUUCUAUUUUUUUGCAAGUUCUUAGCGAAUAUCCUUUUUAG
rnacentral:rRNA from 1 species